CCUCAGUCAUCGUCCCAAAACCACCCCUAAUUAGCUCUGUGUAACACCACCGCCCGCCACCGACGGAAAUCGCCCACGGCGGCAGCCCACCUCCAAAUGCCACCAAAAAUACAACCUAGAUUCCCUGUUCCUUCCUCUCUCCAAAUCCAUACCCCUUUUUCCUCGAAUCACAGCCAAAACCUUCGAAUCUUAGAUCAAAGAAACUCCGGCCAAAACGUCACCUUGCCCAAACACCACCAAAUUUACACCACAAGACUGCCUCAGUGUCCUCUAUCGAACCCCCUUAACCCCGUCCCUCGAAUCCCGUCGGAACUGUUCGAAUAUCAGUUUAUGUUUUUCCGGCCAAAACCCUAGUCACACCAACUCGCCCCAAAAUGAUACCAUAUGUCCCUUGGGCCCUCCUCAUCAAGAAUUCAAUGUCAUUAACACUCAAUUACCACUAGAGACGGCCGAAUUUGAAGUGUGAAAGUCAGCCGGACUUCGAGCCAUGGUACACAUUCUAAUCAUGUGUGAUGGAGCUGUGAAGUGAAGUAAUAAAAUGAAGUUUUCGUCCAUUUGAAUACCUGUAGUUUAAUUAGUAAUGUUUUAAUUUUAGCUUGUUGGAACUGUGUUGAAUUGGAACUAAUACUGGAUUGUUACGGGCUGUUUGAUCUCUGGUUAUUCAACAUUAGUUUUUUAAAAAAUAGUAGGUAUUUCCUGAUUCUACUAGCCUCGUUCUGUUAAAAACUAAAAAUCAAAACAGUUUGUUAUUGCAGUAGUUAACAGGUAUUGAUGGCUGGAUAAUAGUUUAUUCUAGUUGUUAUAGUUGUUAUCUAAUCAGUUGUGAAUAAAGUAAGUCCAGGUUAUUGGCAUGUUUA